GAUGAACGCUGGCGGCGUGCCUAAUACAUGCAAGUCGAGCGAACGGACGAGAAGCUUGCUUCUCUGAUGUUAGCGGCUGACGGGUGAGUAACACGUGGAUAACCUACCUAUAUGACUGGGAUAACUUCGUGAAACCGUAGCUAAUACCGGAUAAUAUUUUGAACCGCAUGGUUCAAAAGUUAAAGACGGUCUUGCUGUCACUUAUAGAUGGAUCCGCGCUGCAUUAGCUAGUUGGUAAGGUAACGGCUUACCAAGGCAACGAUGCAUAGCCGACCUGAGAGGAUGAUCGGCCACACUGGAACUGAGACACGGUCCAGACUCCUACGGGAGGCAGCAGUAGGGAAUCUUCCGCAAUGGGCGAAAGCCUGACGGAGCAACGCCGCGUGAGUGAUGAAGGUCUUCGGAUCGUAAAGCUCUGUUAUUAGGGAAGAACAGAUGUGUAAGUAACUGUGGACAUCUUGACGGUACCUAAUCAGAAAGCCACGGCUAACUACGUG
rnacentral:rRNA from 1 species